UGGGGAAUAUUGCACAAUGGGCGAAAGCCUGAUGCAGCGACGCCGCGUGCGGGAUGAAGGCCUUCGGGUUGUAAACCGCUUUUAAUUGGGAGCAAGCGAGAGUGAGUGUACCUUUUGAAUAAGCACCGGCUAACUACGUGCCAGCAGCCGCGGUAGUACGUAGGGUGCAAGCGUUAUCCGGAAUUAUUGGGCGUAAAGAGCUCGUAGGCGGUUUGUCACGCCUGGUGUGAAAGUCCAUCGCUUAACGGUGGAUCUGCGCCGGGUACGGGCAGGCUAGAGUGCAGUAGGGGAGAUUGGAAUUCCCGGUGUAACGGUGGAAUGUGUAGAUAUCGGGAAGAACACCAAUGGCGAAGGCAGAUCUCUGGGCUGUUACUGACGCUGAGGAGCGAAAGCAUGGGGAGCGAACAGGAUUAGAUACCCUGGUAGUCCAUGCCGUAAAACGGUGGAUGCUGGAUGUGGGACCCUUCCACGGGUUCCGUGUCGGAGCUAACGCGUUAAGCAUCCCGCCU
rnacentral:rRNA from 1 species